GACUUCAAGAAUGUAUAAAUGAACAAGCCCGAUCCCAUCUGAUCUCGGAAGCUAAGCGGGGUCAGGCCUGGUUAGUACUUGGAUGGGAGACCACCUAGGAAGACCAGGUGCUGUAGGCA
rnacentral:rRNA from 1 species